AGCAGCCGCGGUAAUUCCAGCUCCAAUAGCGUAUAUUAAAGUUGUUGCAGUUAAAGAGCUCGUAGUUGAAUUUUGGAUUCUUCCAAUUGGUCCAUCUUUUAGAUGAGUACUGGUUGUGUGGGGUCUAUCCGCCUGGUGAUACGUAAUGUCCUUUAUUGGAUGUUGCGGGUAGUCAGGACCUUUACCUUGAAAAAAUUAGAGUGUUUAAAGCAGGCUUAUGCCGGAAUACAUUAGCAUGGAAUAAUAGAAUAGGACGAAGUUGUUUUAUUUUGUUGGUUUCUAGGACAACCGUAAUGAUUAAUAGGGAUAGUUGGGGGCAUUAGUAUUCAAUUGUCAGAGGUGAAAUUCUUGGAUUUAUUGAAGACUAACUACUGCGAAAGCAUUUGCCAAGGAUGUUUUCAUUAAUCAAGAACGAAAGUUAGGGGAUCGAAGACGAUCAGAUACCGUCGUAGUCUUAACCAUAAACUAUGCCGACUAGGGAUCGGGCGAUGUUGUUUCCAUGACUCGCUCGGCACCUUAU
rnacentral:misc_RNA from 1 species